rnacentral:rRNA from 1 species
ACACGUAGGGGGCGAGCGUUGUCCGGAUUUACUGGGCGUAAAGAGCGCGUAGGUGGUUAGGUAAGUCAGGUGUGAAAGGCCAGGGCUCAACCCUGGGAUUGCACUUGAAACUGUUUAACUUGAGGGUAGGAGAGGUAAGUGGAAUUCCUGGUGUAGCGGUGAAAUGCGUAGAUAUCAGGAGGAACACCAGUGGCGAAAGCGACUUACUGGCCUAGCCCUGACACUGAGGCGCGAAAGCGUGGGGAGCGAACAGGAUUAGAUACCCUGGUAGUCCACGCCGUAAACGAUGGGUACUAGGUGUAGGAGGUAUCGACCCCUUCUGUGCCGCAGCAAACGCAUUAAGUACCCCGCCUGGGGAGUACGGCCGCAAGGUUAAA